CCCAACUGUAGGCAACUGCCUAGGUUGCCUUGUACCUGGGCAAGUAUUACACUGCUGGGAGAAAAGCAGCCAAGGCUGGCAGGCAUUCUGGGCCUGGUUAAUGUCAAAAUU
ensembl:snoRNA SNORA74 Small nucleolar RNA SNORA74